CAGUCGCCGCGGGAAUACAAAGGGUGCGAGCGUUAAUCGGAAUUAUUGGGCGUAAAGCGCGCGUAGACGGUUUGGUAAGUCAGAUGUGAAAUCCCUGGGCUCAACCUGGGAACUGCAUUUGAUACUGCCUGGCUAGAGUAUCGAAGAGGGAAGUGGAAUUUCCGGUGUAGCGGUGAAAUGCGUAGAUAUCGGAAGGAACACCUGUGGCGAAAGCGGCUCACUGGACCAUUUCUGACGCUGAUGCACGAAAGCUAGGGGAGCAAACAGGAUUAGAUACCCGCGUAGUCCCUGUCUCUUAUAC
rnacentral:rRNA from 1 species